rnacentral:ncRNA from 1 species
CGCAGUCGGUGCCGCAGCGUUCGCUGCGGGUAAAAGGGAAACAGGUGAAACGCCUGUGCGAACUCGUCACCGUAUGCGGAUCGGCACUGUCACGCGAAAGCAGCCACUGAGCGAUCGGGAAGGCGACAGCGCCAUAUGCCGCAAGCCGGGAAACCUGCCGCCUGU